ACCUUAAGGUCCUCCGCAGGGCAUACCAGGAGAGGGGGUCCCGUAGGUACGUGGGUCCUAGGCCGCAUAGGGCUUCAAAGGUCAAAACCAGCACCUUAAACCUGACCCUGUACUUCACCGGGAGCCAGUGCAGUUGGUAAAGAUGACCCCUGGACAUCUCUUCCAUGCCAUGAUAUUUCCUGGGGGAGACUAACCAGCCCAAAGCCCAGCGGCCCAGGAAGGCUGAGUCGCUGCUGGGGAAGAAAUGGAAAAGUGGGUGGGAAGAGGAAGGGAAUGGAGUGUCCUGGGAAAGGAUGCCGAGUGGGAAGAUCCCAGGUGGGCGUCUAAGAGAGUUCAGCUGAACGGGGACACAUGGGGUCUGCAACUCAUCUCCUCUACCGAGUCUUAAACCGUUUGCGUUCAGGUGUCCUUUGACCAGCUACGAUUGGCCCAACAGCCAUUCCUGGACCAGGGAAGCCUUGCCACGGUGGUUCAUGCACUGAUGACUUCAGGACUGAGUUACUGCCAUGCGCUCUAUGUGGAGCUUCCCCCGUGUCUGAUCCAGAAGCUGUAGCGAGUGCGGGAUGCAGCAGCACAAUUGCUGGCCACAGUGAGACCUCGUCUGCAUAGGAAGUCUGGGCUCAGAGGUCUGGUUACCCGUUUGAGUUCAAGCCAUUAAUCUGAGCCCGUGGGGAGGGGUCUCUUUCUCCUCCUCUGGGCAGCCUGUCCAUCUUUGAGAGUUAAUAUAGGAUGGAUAUGACAGGAAGUGAUGUUUCCACCAUAAGCGGGAGAAAGAGAGCUGCUGUCCUCCCUCGCAGGGGUGGCUGUGGACCUGCUCAAGAAAACUGCCCGCCUCGGGGGCAAGCCCCUCCCUCCUGGGAGAAGCAUGCGACCAGUGGGCGGAGCCUCUGCGCACACCUGGGGGGCCCUCCUCCCUCCCUCCAGAAUCCCAACUGCCACCUGCGACCUGAGCUGUGGGGGGGUGGGGGUGUCCAGCUUGUUCACAUCUGCUCAGAAACGGUUAGCGUUAAAAAGAAUGUGUAUGGUGGUAAAUGUUUUGGAAGAUUUAACAAAAAUGAUAUGGGGGGGGGAGGGAAACGGUUAGUGGAGAGGGAGGACCCCUACGAAGAGAGGUUGUGGGGAGCAUUGAAGGGACAGAAUACCCAAAUCCUGUCUGUGAAAUCACCCCAGGCUUCAAUAAUCAUACCAGGCCUCAAAACUGUCCAAAAUUCCUUUUGUCUUCUAAAAAUCCAAAACAGCUUUUCUCUGCUUGUCUCUGCUUAUUCUCACAAAAUGCUGUGCAUAGGCAAAAUGUUACUUUUAAAGGCUAAUGAAUAGGCUCUGGCAUUGCCAAGAAUACUCAGGCCUGGGAAAUGAAUCUUAUCUCAUUCGGUUGCAACAUCUUGGACAUGCUGAACCACCAGGGCUCCUCGACCCCUUGGCUCUCACUCCCCUUUCCUGGGAAGGGUGCCAAGAGUCCACAAUAGUCCCAAGACAGCUUUCUGUUCAUGCUCAAAGGAACUCAUGGGCAGGACUCUGGAAGGAGGAGGAGAAAGGAGGAGGGAACUGGAAAGGGGUAUAUAUGUUUGUGCACAUGACUGUGAACUUUGUGCAUGCUUUUUGUGGACUAUCACACUUGCUCCUUCUACCAGUUCAUGGAUGGUAGAAAUAAAACCUUUUUCUCCGAAACUAUUCCUUGAGUGUCUGUUGACUCCCACUUCCCUUUCCCAGGCGCAAUGUUUUCCCCACCCGAGGGCAAAGCCUCAUAAGGCUACAGCAUCAGUGUAAGGGGGUGGGGGGCAGGACAACAGUCCCAGGUUCAUCAUCUACAGAAAAGAACCUAAGGAGACCCGUCUAAUCCAGCAUCCUCUUCGCCCAGGGCCCAACUAGAUGCUCCAAAAGGAAACUGCCAAGCAGGAUUUGCACCCAGAGCCACCCAGAGCCCUCUCCUCCUCCUCCUCCUCCUCCUCCUCC
rnacentral:lncRNA from 1 species